CAGCCGCCACGGUAAUACGAAGGGUGCAAGCGUUAAUCGGAAUUACUGGGCGUAAAGCGCGCGUAGGUGGUUUGGUAAGAUGGAUGUGAAAUCCCCGGGCUCAACCUGGGAACUGCAUCCAUAACUGCCUGACUAGAGUACGGUAGAGGGUGGUGGAAUUUCCUGUGUAGCGGUGAAAUGCGUAGAUAUAGGAAGGAACACCAGUGGCGAAGGCGACCACCUGGACUGAUACUGACACUGAGGUGCGAAAGCGUGGGGAGCAAACAGGAUUAGAUACCCGCGUAGUCCCUGUCUCUUAUAC
rnacentral:rRNA from 1 species